AUACUUAGCUGACAGAGAGCCAUUCUAAUCAUGAAGGUGGUUUUUGAGAGUGAUCCUCAUCACUAGCACUUCAGGUAGGCUGACUCCUACAAUUUUGCCAUAUCCAGGGAACUUGACUGUAAAAUUUGUGAUGUAGGAGACUUUUUCUUCCUU
rnacentral:snRNA from 15 species